AGUGAACGCUGGCGGUAGGCCUAACACAUGCAAGUCGAACGGCAGCACAGUAAGAGCUUGCUCUUACGGGUGGCGAGUGGCGGACGGGUGAGGAAUACAUCGGAAUCUACUUUUUCGUGGGGGAUAACGUAGGGAAACUUACGCUAAUACCGCAUACGACCUACGGGUGAAAGCAGGGGAUCUUCGGACCUUGCGGGAGUGAAUGAGCCGAUGUCGGAUUAGCUAGUUGGCGGGGUAGAGGCCCACCAAGGCGACGAUCGGUAGCCGGUCUGAGAGGGUGACCGGCCAGAGUGGGAAGGCGAUACGGCCCAGACUCCUACGGGAGGCAGCAGUGGGGAAUAUUGCACAAUGGGCGGAAGACUGAGGAAGCAACGCGGCGUGCGGGAUGACGGCCUGCGGGUUGGAAACGGCUUGCGCCUGUGACGAAGCGUGAGUGAAGGUAAGGGGUAAAGAAGCACGGGCUAACUACGGG
rnacentral:rRNA from 1 species